AAGGGGUGGGGGGCACAUCUGAAGAAGAGGCUGCACCCGCAGCCUCGGGAACCCCAUAACCCUAAGGGGGUGCCUGGGUGCAGUCCCUGCCACUCCCCCUGGAUCCCGCUCCCUGCUGGUGAGAGCUCCAGUACCAGAGCCCCUGUGACCCUCCGGGGAGACCCACAUGCAGUUCUUGGUCCUGGAUUCCUGGCCCAGCCCUGGCUGCUGCAGGCGUCUGGGGAGUGAGACAAUGAAUGCAAGGUCUCUGUUUCUCUGCGCGUACAAUAAAAAUAAACAAUUCAAAAAAAAAAAAAAAAAAGCAUUAAGAAAGCGGAGAGGAAGUGCGAGGCGAGGGCUGGCUGCGCCAGGCAGCGGAGCCCCGGGCUCUGAGUCACCACCUGUGAGCACUUCCUACAAGCCCCAUGUUUGCAGCGGCACCGCACACCCGCAGGCUUUUCUGUGCCCGUGCCUGGUGUGGAGAAGGCAACUCCAGGGUUCGGGUCGUCCGCGGCGCUGGCUGGAGUCCGCGGCAAGUUCCUUCCUUGCUUCCAGGUUCCGCUCCAGCUGCGGGACGGCACCUCGCGGCGCGGGCAGCAGUAGGAUUUUCUGCUGUCACAGAGCUGGUGACAGCUCUUUGACCCGGACGCCAGAAAGUGGACAGAGGUUCAUCCUGGGGCCAGCUGGUUGAAGACGACCUGGGAGAAUGACAGGCAGCUGACUGAGUUCUUGCGGAAGGUGUCCGUGGGAGACUGCACAAGGUGGCUGGGGAACUUCUUGUUGCCCAGGGAGGAGAUGCUGGAGUCUACAGCACGGCCACCCACAACCUCAGGACCAGUCCCAUUCAAGGCCACGGCCACCAUACCCAUGCCCUUGGCCUUUCUCCUGCUCCUCACCAGCUCAGUCCUCCUUGUCAUGCAAGGGGAGCCAUUCUGAGUGACAGGGCCUCUCUCAUCUGUGAUGCUGGAAUCACAACCACAGUGACCACACGGCUGACAUGACGCUGCCUAUCUGGGACAUUCACCACUGGGUGCCUUUGGAGUUGUUGGGCCGUGGAAAGUGCUUGCAGCCCUCUUGGGCCUCUGGGGUCUACUCACGUCGAGCUGUGUGCAUUGAGAGCUCCCCUACCCAGGGACUCUGGCCCCUUCCUUCUCUACUGGGAAACAGGACGAGCCUGUCUCUGUCGCUCCCCCUCUUCGUGGAGGAACGACACAGGACCCUGCGCUGUUCUUUUUUCUGCUCGGCCCUCCCCGGGUUUGCUGCUGGUUCUUCCCGGGUUGGCUACUAUCCCUUCCACCUCCGUGGAAGGGCAGUUCCCCCUGGCCGCAUUCCCCACUUCCGCAGGGGAGCGGCACACCGCCGGCCGGCUUUCUCGGGGGCUGCACGGGUUCCCUUAGAUGUUCCCCAUAGAUGUUCCUGGUGCAUGCCGUCUCUCUCCUCCUUUAUAGUCCUCCUCCGCCAAUCCCAACUCGGCUGCCCACACGCCGAGUACGCUGCUCUCCAAUCAGGAGCAAGUCCUACAGUUAAUUGGUUGAACUGGAGGCAGCUGUGCGGAAGCUGUUUACUUCUCUCCCAGCGCCAUAUUGUGGGAGAGCAGAUGCAUAGAAUAAGUCUUAAUUCCAGUAACUCAGUCUAGUCCGGUUGCUCCCCACAGAUCCCCCUUUCUUUUUAUUUUUUGGCAUUGAUACGCGCCUGUCUUCGGUGUCCCGCGGCACACACUCUGCUCUACUUGCUAGAGUUGCCACAGGCUCUUACAAGUCCUAUCAAUCAGGCAAACCGAAUCCGGGUCCUCUCUUCGCCAUGUUGUGAGGAGGUUUUUAGGCGCUGAUGCGUGCCUGUGUUCGGUGCCCUGCAGCGCAUGCUCUGGUCGAGCCUGCAGGGGCUUACAAGCCCUAUCAGGCAAACCGAAUCCAAGCCUUCUCUUUGCCUUUUUGUGGGGAGGCCUUACUGAUGUUAAUUCGUGCCUGUCUUCGGUGACCUGCGGCGCAUAAGCUGCUAGCCGCCCAGGUGCUCAUCGCCUCACUAAUCGGGCAGACCGAAUCCAAGCCUUCUAAUUGUUGUAUUGUAGGGAGGCCUUUCUAUUUCUCUAUUUCUCUAUCUCCGGGCAUUCCUAUUUCUCCCAUUUUACUUCUGUCUGCCAACAUUCCCAUUUCUCUCACUCCACUUCCAAACUUCUGUUUCUCUUAUCCCUGCGGCUUCCCGCCGGCGCUCGCCCCGAGGCUGCUUCUCGGCUCUGCGCGGCUUCCCGGCGCCUCACCCCGCCGGCGGGUUCCUGGCUCUGCGCGGCUUCCCGGCGCCUCGCCCCGCCGGCGGGUUCCCGGCUCUGCGCGCACGCUCCGCGGUCUCCACGCACUUCGCGCCCGCACCACGGCCUCGCGCCAGCCCUGCGUUCCCUAUCUAUUCACGCCCCGUGCUCUCUCUGCACGCGGCGGCUUCCGCGAGUAACACAGCGUAGCUUACGUGUCCGCCACUAGCAUUCAAUCUAAGUUCCCCGGGCUAGCCUGGCGAAUUCAACCCAGCGUACGUCUCCGCCCCACGGUUUGGCUUCCCGUCCUUUGCUCCCCGGGCUAAUCAGACGGAUCCCAACCAGGCUCACGUUUCAGCUUCUAGUUUCAACUUUUCGCCCCCUAUUCCCGGGCUAACUUGAGAAUCCCAAAGUGGCUUUCGUAUCCGCCUCGGCCUGCCCCCCGCGGCUUCAAUUUCCCUAACAUUUUUCUCUACCCGGUAUGUUUCCCCAAACUUUCCUCCAACGAUAUUCCUCCCUCAUUUCUCCUGGCCUCUCCCCACAGUCCGCGUCCGAGUCUGUUUGUUCUAGCUUUCACUUUCGCUUUCGACCUUAGAGAUUUCUCCCAGCUUCCCCCCGUAGUCCGUAUCCGAGUCUAUGCCUAGGCUUUCAAUAGCUUCUUCCGGCUCCUUUUUCGUCCGGCUUUUCCCUAGGCUGUUUGCUAGUCUCUCCCUCCGAUAUUUUCCCUAGGCUGUUUGCUAGUUUCUCUCUCCGAUAUUUUCCCUAGUUCUUCCCGUUUCUUCCCUCCUAAGUUUCAUAUCCGUCCUAGGUUUCCUAUCCGAGUCACGGCACCAUUAUGUCGCUCCCCCUCUUUGUGGAGGAGCAACACUGAACCCUGCGCUGUUCUUUUCGUCUGCUCGGCCCUCCCCGGGUUUGCUGCUGGUUCUUCCCGGGUUGGCUACUAUCCCUUCCACCUCCGUGGAAGGGCAGUUCCCCCUGGCCGCAUUCCCCACUUCCGCAGGGGAGCGGCACACCGCCGGCCGGCUUUCUCGGGGGCUGCACGGGUUCCCUUAGAUGUUCCCCAUAGAUGUUCCUGGUGCAUGCCGUCUCUCUCCUCCUUUAUAGUCCUCCUCCGCCAAUCCCAACUCGGCUGCCCACACGCCGAGUACGCUGCUCUCCAAUCAGGAGCAAGUCCUACAGUUAAUUGGUUGAACUGGAGGCAGCUGUGCGGAAGCUGUUUACUUCUCUCCCAGCGCCAUAUUGUGGGAGAGCAGAUGCAUAGAAUAAGUCUUAAUUCCAGUAACUCAGUCUAGUCCGGUUGCUCCCCACAUGUCUCCUGUGACCUCAUCAGGCUGAGGAAGGAUGUAGGCCCUGCCUAGCCCAGGAGCCCAGAUUCCGUGCUGAGUGGCCCAGAGUCCUAUGUGGAAGCGUUCCUUUGAGGGAAUAGGGAAGACCUGGGAGACUUGGUCAAAGUGUCAUUUUUAUUUAUUUAUUUAUUUUUAGCUUUUUUUCAAUUGACACCUGGAAGAGCCCAGUUUAACAUCCAAGUUAUAAAGAGAAACACGGAAUAUAAGAAGGAGAGUGACUGCAAGCAGUCGUGCCAGUGAGAGUUUAGAUCAGCCUGCAAGACACUACCUGUGCACUCCUUCUCGUGUUACAUUUCUUUACCAUUUUGUUUUUAUGUAUUGAUUACAUAUUUUCACCUGUCAUGAGCCGUUAACCCAAGUUCAGAGAGUGCGGGCUACUCCAGCCCUGCAGGCCGGGCGUUCCAGCUGCUCCAGCGAAGCCCAAAGCCCAGAAUGGGCGCCCUAGAUGAUGCAUGCAUGGGGUUAGAGGUGGGGUAAGGCAGUCAAGGUGGAAUCCAAACCCCAGACCCCUCUACGGUUGCUGCUGGCACAGUGAGGGCACAAGAGAGUCUGGAUCCCAAACAUCAAAAUGUUUGACCUGAUUGAAGAUUUGUUUCAUAAAUACUGUGUGCCUUAUUUAUGUGCUAGUGGCGCUGAACUCAUGCUCUUCACCAUAGAGACAGCAGUGGGUGGCAGCGGGUGCUCAAUGGACACCUCUCAGCCAGCAAGGGGGAAAGGGGAGCCCAAGGUGUGCUGCACCCCACACCCCAGAGUGGGGUUUUAACAAGGCCAGGAACCCAGGAUGCCUGGUGCCUGCCUCCCUGCAGCCCGCCCACCUGUUCUUCCUCUGUCUGUCCUCCUUCUCCUUCUCCCUACCCUCCCUCCACCUUUCCUUCUCUAGGAAGAGCAAGACACACACACACACACACACACACAGAGCAAGCAACAGAGAGAGAGACAGGGAGAGGGAGAGAGAGAGAGAGCGAGCGAGCCCGUUCAGGCGUGUAGGUGCUGGACUCUGACUCACUCUUGGCAACCAAGAGACUCACUCUUGGCAACUGGCUGUGCAGCUCUGCGCCCUUUUUUUUUUUUUUUUUCAGGCAGAGUUAUAGACAGAGAGAGAGACAGAGAGAAAGGUCUUCCUUCUGUUGCUUCACUCCCCAAAUGGCCACCAUGGCCGGCGCUAGGUGCUUCCUGGCCUCUCAUGCGAGUGCAGAGGCCCAAGCACUUAUGCAAUCCUCUACUGUCUUCCCGGGCCACAGCAGAGAGCUGGACUGGAAGAGGAGCAACCAGGACAGAAUCCAGCGACCCAACUGGGACUAGAACCCAGGCUGCUCAUGCCGCAGGCGGAGGAUUAGCCUUGUGAGCUGCAGCACCAGCCCUCCGCACCCUUUUAAAACCGAUGCCCUUUUAGCUCCUAGCGCUCAGGGCGGGACAGGGCAGGCCGAGCUGUCCUUCAAAAUGAUUCGGAGGUGGGGGUGAGCUUCUCACUGGCUGUCCCUCCGAUUACUGGAAAAAAAAAAAAAAAGGCACCAGAAAUCUCACACACAUUUAACUAAAACAGCAAACCUCAAGAAGGAGAAAACAAUUCCAACAAUAGCGCUAGUUUUCCUUGGGGAAGACGGGUAUCAGUGCCCCUGUCAGCGCCCUUGCAGACUAAGCCUUAGAGGCAGCGGCAAAGAUUAAUCUAUAACCUAGCUGCCUUGGAGCCACUCUCACCCCAGCCUUCCUUAACCAAUAAACCCGGGUACCUACACAAUUCCUGUACUUAAAUACCCAGUGAGCUCUGAACUGACUCAGUACUCUGCAAUGGAGCUGCUGCCCGGGCACCCCUUCACUUUUCUGUAGCUUCUGCUUCUGCGUCUGCUGGCAGCUGGGCUCUGGGCGCCGCUGGCCGGUGAGUGCGUUCAGGGCAGGGCACAGGGCAGGGAGAGAGGGUGGGGACCUCCUCGCAGGCCUGCGCUUCCCUGAGGCGGCUUCUCCUGGAGUCCAAGGAAGAGGAUGGGAUGGAGCAGUGGGAACUGCUGGUGCCCUACCCCCCAUCCUGCCGACAGUAGGCACAGAGCCAGGGGGCACGCAAAUGAGUGCGAACCUUGCACGGAGGCGUCCCCGCUCGACACCCACAAACUCCCACUCCAACCCACCAGCGUCCACUUGCUGCCAGCCACUGACAACUGGGCAGAGCAGACAGAAAUGCUGCGAGAUGUGGUGGACGCCCUCAACCAGCAAGUGGCCGAAAUGAAACAUUCCACAAGCAAGGGUGAGCCUGAAAGUCCCUGGGCAGAGGGCAGGGUUUGUGAACCAGGACUGAGGAUUUCCACGUGCAGAACUGGACAAUGCGCUUCCUUUGGAGGCCCAGCGACAAGGUGGAGAGGUAGGAAAUCAGGACCAGGCGAUGUUAAAGGGGACGGGAAUGCAGGAUCCCAGGUGGGGCAGAGGGUCUGUCAAGACUGAUCUGGGCACAGGGACUUCCUUAUGUUUCUGUGAAGUUGCAAGUUGGCCCCACUCAAGUGCCCCAGGAGGAAGUGCAGGAUGCAGAGGACAGAGCAGGGCCAGGAGAUACCAGAGGGACGGAUGGGAGAAGUGGAUCCCAGGUGGGUCAGGGGAUCAGUCAAGACUGAUCUCUGACAAUGUCUUUCCA